AAAGCAGCCAAAAAAGGACGCACACAGGAAAAUGAAGAUCCACCUCUAUCCUCUCUUCUUCAUUUUCUUGUGUGCGUCCUUUUUUGGCUGUUUUUUUUUCCA
rnacentral:pre_miRNA from 1 species